GCCAGAGUGGCUUAGUGGUUUGAGUGCUGGACUGACUCUGGAGGCCAAUGCUCGAAUCCCAGCUCUGACA